rnacentral:rRNA from 1 species
CCUACGGGUGGCAGCAGUGGGGAAUAUUGCACAAUGGGGGAAACCCUGAUGCAGCAACGCCGCGUGAGUGAAGAAGUAUUUCGGUAUGUAAAGCUCUAUCAGCAGGGAAGAAAAUGACAGUACCUGACUAAGAAGCCCCGGCUAACUACGUGCCAGCAGCCGCGGUACUACGGGGGAUGCAAGCGUUAUCCGGAUUUAUUGGGUUUAAAGGGUGCGUAGGCUGUGAGGUAAGUCAGCGGUGAAAUGCCCCCGCUCAACGGGGUGAAGUGCCAUUGAUACUGCCUUGCUGGAAUGCGGAUGCCGUGGGAGGAAUGUGUGGUGUAGCGGUGAAAUGCAUAGAUAUCACACAGAACACCGAUUGCGAAGGCAUCUCACGAAGCCGCGAUUGACGCUGAUGCACGAAAGCGUGGGUAUCAAACAGGAUUAGAUACCCGUGUAGUC